rnacentral:rRNA from 1 species
UACGAGAGGCCCAAACGUUAUUCGGAAUUACUGGGCGUAAAGGGCUCGUAGGUGGCCAACUAAGUCAGACGUGAAAUCCCUCAGCUUAACUGGGGAACUGCGUCUGAUACUGGAUGGCUUGAGUUUGGGAGAGGGAUGCGGAAUUCCAGGUGUAGCGGUGAAAUGCGUAGAUAUCUGGAGGAACACCGGUGGCGAAGGCGGCAUCCUGGACCAAUACUGACACUGAGGAGCGAAAGCCAGGGGAGCAAACGGG